CCUACGGGUGGCAGCAGUGAGGAAUAUUGGUCAAUGGGCGGAAGCCUGAACCAGCCAAGUAGCGUGCGGGAUGAAGGCCCUACGGGUCGUAAACCGCUUUUGCACGGGGAUAACAUCCUCCACUUGUGCAGGUCUGCAGGUACCGUGCGAAUAAGGGCCGGCUAAUUCCGUGCCAGCAGCCGCGGUAAUACGGAAGGCCCGAGCGUUAUCCGGAUUCAUUGGGCUUAAAGGGAGCGUAGGUGGGCGUUCAAGUCAGGGGUAAAAUUGGGCGGCUCAACCGCGCCUUGCAAUUGAUACUGGCAGUCUUGAGUUCAGAUCAGGCAGGCGGAAUUCGUGGUGUAGCGGUGAAAUGCAUAGAUAUCACGAGGAACCCCGAUUGCGAAGGCAGCCUGCCGGGGUGCGACUGACGCUGAGGCUCGAAGGUGCGGGUAUCAAACAGGAUUAGAUACCCGAGUAGUC
rnacentral:rRNA from 1 species